rnacentral:rRNA from 1 species
CCUACGGGCGGCAGCAGUGGGGAAUAUUGCGCAAUGGGCGAAAGCCUGACGCAGCGACGCCGCGUGAGGGAUGAAGGUCUUCGGAUCGUAAACCUCUGUCAGCAGGGAAGAACGGUCACUGUGCUAAUCAGCAGUGAAUUGACGGUACCUGCAAAGGAAGCACCGGCUAACUCCGUGCCAGCAGCCGCGGUAAUACGGAGGGUGCGAGCGUUAAUCGGAAUUACUGGGCGUAAAGCGCUCGUAGGCGGUAUGUCAAGUCAAGGGGGAAAUCCCCGCGCUCAACGUGGGAACUGCCGUUGAAACUGGCAAACUGGAGUGUGUGAGAGGAUAGUGGAAUUCGACGUGUAGCAGUGAAAUGCGUAGAUAUGGGGAAGAACACCGAUGGCGAAGGCAGCCUCCUGGGACGCAACUGACGCUCAGACACGAAAGCGUGGGGAGCAAACAGGAUUAGAUACCCCAGUAGUC